GCCAGUGUAGCUUAAAUAAAGCAUGACACUGAAGAUGUCAAGA
rnacentral:tRNA from 1 species